GUUUUAAGUUAAGGUUAAGGUUAUAGGUUUAGGUUUGGGUUUAGGUUUUAGGUUUAGGUUUAGGUUUAGGUUUAGUUUAGGUUUAGGUUUUAGGUUAAGGUUAAGGUUUUAGGUUUAGGUUUAGGUUUUAGGUUAAGGUUAAGGUUAUAGGUUUAGGUUUGGGUUUAAAUUUUAGGUU